rnacentral:lncRNA from 1 species
AUCUUGAAAACGGAAAAUAAAAACAGCAGACCUAUGAAGGUCGAAGGGGAAGAAAAGCUGUAUCGAUUGUUGAGAUCUGGCGACUUGUUUAAAUUUCAUCAGCCUCACUUCUAUGAACUCUCAGGACAGCUCACAGUAUGGCAGCUGACAUUCUACAGAGUGAGCAGGUGAAGGAAAGAAAGAAAAGUUUUCAAGAUUGUUUUGGCUCUAGCAAAACAAGUUGGAACAUUCACAUCAUCCAAGACAACACCAACAUUUUUGUAAUGGCCUGCAAGGCCUUCCGAGAUCUACCUCCUGCAACUCAGCUUCUCCUGUGCUCUCCUUCUGGACUCACUCUGCCUCAGCAACACUGGUCCCUGUUGCCCCACCAAUAUGCCAGCUGCACUGAUGAGGAAACUGAAACAGAAAAUCCAGAGUAAAUUCCACCAGGCCACACAGCAAGGUCUGAUAGAGCCAGGAGAGACUUUAUGAAAUCCAGACUCUCACACUAAUGCUCUAUCAGCUAGACCUCCAUGUGAGUCUCCCCAAUGUAGGUAGGAAGUGCUUUCCCUAAAAUGCUCAUAAAGCAAAUCAGAGCAAUGCUGCAUUCCAUGUGAUUUCUAAUUUGAAAUGCAAACAAUUGCCAAUUUGUUUGACUUGUAUUUAUAAUUAUUUCCUUGUGAAUUACUCAUCACUAAAUGCUUUAUAAAUAUUUUCUCUUUUUUUCCUCAAUGUCUAUGGAAUGAUCACAGCAUAGAAAAUGUUGGCUUUCAAGGAUUUAUUAAUAUCUCCUUUUGAAAUAACAUGUAUUUGUAAGACAGAAUAAAAUCACUUUAAAGAAACAAA